GAUGAACGCUGGCGGCGUGCCUAAUACAUGCAAGUCGAGCGAACAGACGAGGUGCUUGCUCCUCUGACGUUAGCGGCGGACGGGUGAGUAACACGUGGAUAACCUACCUAUAAGACUGGGAUAACUUCGGGAAACCGGAGCUAAUACCGGAUAAUAUAUUGAACCGCAUGGUUCAAUAGUGAAAGACGGUUUUGCUGUCACUAAUAGCUGGAUCCGCGCCGCAUUAGCUAGUUGGUAAGGUAACGGCUUACCAAGGCGACGAUGCGUAGCCGACCUGAGAGGGUGAUCGGCCACACUGGAACUGAGACACGGUCCAGACUCCCACGGGAGGCAGCAGUGGGGAAUCUUCGGCAAUGGGCGAAAGCCUGACGGAGCAACGCCGCGUGAGUGAUGAAGGUCUUCGGAUCGUAAAACUCUGUUAUUAGGAAAGAACAAAUGUGUAAGUAACUAUGCACGUCUUGACGGUACCUAAACAGAAAGCCACGGCUAACUACGUG
rnacentral:rRNA from 1 species